AAUUCCGGCGCUACCAUGCAGUCGAACGGUAACAAUGUAAUGCACGCUUGCUGUGCUCGCUGACGAGUGGCGGACGGGUGACUAAUGUCUGGCACACUGCCUGAUGGACGGGGAUAACUACUGGACACUGGAGCUCAUACCCUAUUACCUCACAAUAUGUUUUCCCGGGAGCUUCAAUCCUCUUGCACUCUUCUGUGCCCCUAUGGGAUUAGCUCGUGCUGCAUGAAACAGCUGGUGGGGUAAACGAUCCCUAGCUGGUCUGAGAGGAUGACCCAUGUGCUGGUGACUGAGACACGGGCCAGACUCCUAACGGAGGCAGCACUGGGGAAUAUUGCACAAUGGGCGCAUGCCUGAUGCAGCCAUGCCGCGAGUAUGAAGAAGGCCUUCUGGUUGUAAAGUACUUUCAGCGGGGAGGAAGGUGUUGAGAGAAAAAAACUUGGGAGAGGACACUGCCCGCCUUGACACUGUCUCUAACCAAAGCGCCAGCGUCUCACUAUGUCCGGAGGGGCGCGAGAUAUUCAUGUGAGGACCGUGUUGUCCAUAUAUUUUGCGUAUAAUGUCGAGCGCAGAUGUUUCUUAUGUGUGAUAUGUCAGAGCUCUGCUCUCCAGACGGGGGGGCUUGUGGACUGGGAGAGGUGGGGUGCGUACCAGAAGAUUGGAAUUCAUGUGUGACGUUGUAAAGCGAUUUAUAUAUAGAGGUUAACUUGUGUUUAUUACUAAU
rnacentral:rRNA from 1 species